rnacentral:tRNA from 1 species
GGGGAUUUAGCUCAGCGGCAUCAGCGCCUGCCUCGCAAGCAGGGCAGUCGAGUUCAAUCCCUA